GCUCAGGAUGAACGCUGGCGGCGUGCUUAACACAUGCAAGUCGAACGAAGCGCUUAAACGGAUUUCUUCGGAUUGAAGUUUUUGCGACUGAGUGGCGGACGGGUGAGUAACGCGUGGGUAACCUGCCUCGUACAGGGGGAUAACAGUUAGAAAUGACUGCUAAUACCGCAUAAGCGCACAGUGCUGCAUGGCACAGUGUGAAAAACUCCGGUGGUAUGAGAUGGACCCGCGUCUGAUUAGCUAGUUGGUGGGGUAACGGCCUACCAAGGCGACGACCAGUAGCCGGCCUGAGAGGGUGAACGGCCACAUUGGGACUGAGACACGGCCCAAACUCCUACGGGAGGCAGCAGUA
rnacentral:rRNA from 1 species